GCCGGGGUAGUCUAGGGGCUAGGCAGCGGACUGCAGAUCCGCCUUACGUGGGUUCAAAUCCCACCCCCGGCUCCA
rnacentral:tRNA from 7 species